rnacentral:rRNA from 1 species
GAUGAACGCUGGCGGCGUGCCUAAUACAUGCAAGUCGAGCGAACGGACGAGAUGCUGGCUUCUCGGAUGUUAGCGGCGGACGGGUGAGUAAGACGUGGACAACCUACCUAUAAGACUGGGAUAACUUCGGGAAACCGGAGCUAAUACCGGAUAAGAUUUUGAACCGCAUGGUUCAAAAGUGAAAUACGGUCUUGCCGUCACGUAUAGAUGGUGCCGCGCUGCAUUAGCUAGUUGGUAAGGUAACGGCUUACCAAGGCGACGAUGCAUAGCCGACCUGAGAGGAUGAUCGGCCACACUGGAACUGAGACACGGUCCAGACUCCUACGGGAGGCAGCAGUAGGGAAUUUUCCACAAUGGGCGAAAGCCUGACGCAGCAACGCCGCGUGAGUGAUGAAGGUCUUCGGAUCGUAAAACUCUGUUAUUAGGGAAGAACAUGUGUGUAAGAAAAUGUGCACAUCUUGACGGUACCUAAUCAGAAAGCCACGGCUAACUACGUG